UUAUGUUUUAUUUUUAUUAUUGUAUUAUUUCCCUUCUACGUGACUUUACCGAAAGAACCAAGAAGAUGAAUCCCUGCAGUCACGAAAGCUUUAAAUCGAAAUGGGUCUCGUCAGUCAGUCGGUCGCGCUUUGGUGGUUGGUGGGCCAGUUCGUCGCCAUCGUCACGCGUGAUCGCGUUCGCCCCACUCGUCGUCAUCGUCGACACCCCGAAUGCGACCCUUCGGUAGCAGCGCGUCCGCGUGUUCAGCACGCGCCUCGAGACAUCACAAACAUGGGCGGCGAGUGGAGGUGGCGACAACGGCAAUGAAACACUCGAUAAACGUGUCACUGGCCAACUCUCAGAAUGGCAAUGGAACGAAUGCAAUGAAGCUCAAAGCAGGGGACUAAAGAUAGGGUAUCCUACUCUUUGCUUCUUUCGGUAAAGUCACGUAGGUAGAAAAAUAAAGUAAAAAAUAAAAUAUCACGACGUUUCAAAUCCAGAUCGGGUAUCCUGUCUCCAAUUAAAGUUGAACCCACUUAAAUUUAGAUUUAAAGCUUUCGUGACUGCAGGGAUUCAUCUUCUUGGUUAUUUCGGUAAAGUCACGUAGAAGGGAAAUGAUAAAAUAAUAAAAAUAAAACAUAAUAAAAUGCAAUUCUUACGACGUUUCGGCCACAACGCAAGCAGCCGUCCUCAGGUGAAGAACAGGUCUGUCGGAAAGACAGCGUCUGAAUGAACACCACAAAGCUUGGCAGCGUAUAUUUAAGCUGGGUUUUAAAGAUAACACUGUCCGUUGCGCGAACAUUAAUCCUUACCAUAGCAUUAUCCCCGUGCCCUAACGUAUAACGCGAACUUAGAGAAAUACGACAAACUUAGCACAAAUCAUAGCAAUAAUUGUAGCACGAGCAUGGGAGCUAUCUCUCACACUGAUGUUUGGCCAGGUGCUGCCGUUGCAGAGAGCUUGACUCACAGCCAGUAGGACGCAAGUUUUAUUCAAGGUCGGUUGUCUUACUUAACUAAUCCUCCAGGGUGGAUAAAAUAACGCACCAUUUUCUGGGAAGCGAAUAGGGGUUGUGAUAUUUGCCAGAUGUCCCUCUGUCAUAGGAAUGUGGAAUGGUUUAUUAUUGGUUCACGAGGGAAAGACUACCUAAACAGUGCGUGUUUGAGGAUAGAGAUACUUUGACUUUUGGACAAACAUUUUACUUAUUCCAUCUGAAAUAAUAACAUUGGAUUUAACUGAAACGCAGCAAUCGUGUUUAUCCUGAAAUUUGCUCACAGUUUCAACCAAUCCAACUAUACCGCUGACAUUAAACCUAUUCCUAACACGAUUUUUUUUAUCAUCGCCAUCAUCAUUGUCCAUUGUCUCUACACCGAUCGAAGGUUUCCCCAAGCAAUCGCUGUCUAUCAUCGUUUCGUGAUGCAACAAUCCAUGGAGAAAACUGACCAUGAGCUGAUUUUAUCACUCCAUGGUGGACGCCUUCUCGGCUAACCAUUACCCUAACACUAUUCCUAACUUAUAACAACAACACUUAACAACAACAACUUUGCCACGACUGAAACAUUAAUCUUCAACACAAUACAAAAAACGCAAAGUGAUGCUAUCGCUUAUCUUUGUGCACACUUAUACUGCAUUAACAUUAACCCGAGCCCAAGUUGGUCAGUGGCUGCUGCCAGCUCUUACAAGGAGUAUUGGCCGAGUGGAAGAGUAGGCCAAAACAAAAAAAACCCUCCAGAGGGACACUCUCCAGAGCUCGAAGUGCAGCCCCUUCCUCCAGCAGUGGAAUGAGCAAUACAUUUUAGAUCCCUCACACCUACCCACUGCAAUAACCCUAACACUGUCCUAACAUGAACCGUGAUCCCCAGCUCCUUAAACCCCCCAAUCCUUUUCUUAACACAUUAAACCCGCGCUGUGUGAAAGUCGUGCGAAACAAAAUCCUUUAAAUAUAAUUGUGGCGGUUGCGGUCCCUCCACCCAUUUGGAGCUUCGUGGGGGGGUUUUAAUAUCUGCAGCGCUGCACCGCGGCCAAUGUCACUUUAGUAAUAAAAGUGCGCAAUGACUCUUCCUCUUCUUACUCCUCCUCCCUCUUCGCAAAGACCCCCAACCGCCAUCGCAAGCGAAGCCUCGCGCGACGAGGACAUCACACGGUUACCGCGAGACUUGCGACUGGAAUCGUCGUUUCAACCAUUGCCUGCAAGCGUAUUGUUAAUUAGCGAACCCCAGUAAGAUGACAUUUAUUUUGGCGUCUUAUUUUUAUAGAGGUCGAUUCUUUCACAGAUAGCACGCUCAUAAUUAAAGGGAGUUGUGGAUAUGUUCCAGAUUUGAUGGUUAACUAAUAGCGAAAAAAAUAUCCCCAAAUCAGAGCUUGACAUGAAAUUUAAGACGAUCCAAUAAAAACGUUUUGUGGCUUAUUCCUAAGAGAGAAGCGGCGUUGCUAAUAUGACGUUGCUUCGAGCGACGCCACUUUUGUGAGCCUCAAGACACACAACUAAGUAACAAUGUAAAUUAUAGUUUUUGGUUCUUUAAAUGUAAAUGAUCAGAAAUACUAUAUUUAAAAUCUAAAAAAAUGCAUCCUAAAUUUUACUGGAAAAAAAUCUCCAUACUUAAUUUUCUUCUUACAAAAAGGGGGAGAUAUUACAUUAAAAAACACGACCUUUCAUUUAAAGCCACGACACAUCUUCCACCAAUCUCAAUGCACUCAUUCAAUCUUUUAACAAUCUUCUCAAUAAGAGAUUGUGCCAUCGCGUUCACAAUAUCCAAUCACCUACGGAGAAUAAAGAGAGGAUCAUGGUGAAAUCAGUCGGCUACCUACAAAUAUGGUUAUGGCGUGAUCACUAUAUUUAUCGCUAUAUUUGCAAAUAUGGUUGGCUGCUCUUGGUCACAAAAAACAUAUUACUAAUCCUGCAAUUCCUAAGGCAUUUUUGUCGUCUAAAGCGAUCGGCUUUGAAUAUUGAACUGCAGCGUUGUUCUUUCUGUAAAUAGACCCGCUACCUGCCCGCUUAUAGCCGACGUUCUCUAUCCACUGCUGCAUGCUCUUGUGUUCCGCAAGUCUGUGCUGCAAAUUAAUCUGCGCUGAGCAGCACGGGGAAUAUUCUUCCUUGCCGGCCGUGUGUAUCCGUGCGUUCUAGAGCCUUUUUAAAACGCUCUCGCCCCCUGUUAUAUUCCUCCCCCCGCCCCCCCUCUCAACACCCCCCGCUGCAAAGUGUCUAUCACUGGGCACUAAUUGUUUUGUAACUUUCAUUUUCACGCAACGGACAAAAAAAAAACACUGAAAAAAAUGACCACGGUGAGCUGUGUGCGUGGAUGUCUGCUGAAAAGGCGUGUGCGUGGAUGUCUGCUGAAUGACUGGAAGCGAGAUGUCUUGCUGCCUGAGCUGGUAAACACUAUACUGGCAUGGCAAUGUAGAAUAUGGACGGCACAGAAGAAUAGCUUAGCUUAGAAAAAGUUAAGACCCGAGCUGUUUACAUCGGUUUAUGAUGCACACCAUUCUCAAAGGAUACGCAAAUCAAUCGCAAUACGAUACGAUGAAGAGACAUCGAAACAUCUGUCUGGAAUUGUCCGUGGAAUUUAACAACUCGCAUGACAGUAAGAAGAAGAAGAUUGAAACCACACAUAUAGAAUCUGCUGAGCUCAUUUGAAAGCAAACAAGUGUCCAAUGUCAAAAGUCGUUAAAAAUGUAAGAUGAUGACAAAUGAAGGUGAUGACAAGAGCGCCCAAUGGCAUCGGGAAUAUUUUGAGAAAUGAAAAACACCUCGGGACGGAAGAAGAGAAAAAUGGAGAGUCAACAAAAAUAAAUGAAAUCCUCGUGAAGAACACGGUCGCAUCUGCAAGCCCUUUACUCGUACGGAAUGUACAGUGCCACUUUUCGUUUGUUCAAGGAGUCAUUUCUUUUUUGUACCGAGCCUCUUGAAGAAGGCCUUUGGGGAUGACACCAGGCUUGGCUGCAAGGAGGAGGAUCGUCAUGGCGAUGGGAGGGAGGCUGGGGAGCUUGAUGAUGGCAGCGCGCAGAUGUUGCUGGAGGUGAGAAUCGGUCACCGGAGAGAUGGCGAUUGGUUACGAUGCGGGUUGCUACAUUACAAGGGCGGCGUGCGGGGUUGGUGGCUACGGUGGAUUGAAAAUGAUGGAAGAAGCUGCGGCGGUGGUGGUGGUGGCGGUGACGGUGGUCGUGGAAAGACGAGUUCACGUUGUGCUGGUCAAUCAACACGAUGCCCCCACGCAUUUCCAACCGCAAUGGAGCCGACACAUCAGCGAAGGACGUGGCCCCAGCCAUCAUCGGGAUCCACCUCGACCCGCGUCACCCGAAGGGCACGGUCUGAGGUAGAGGCCACAGAAGAAGCAGAAUAGAUCGGCAGUGGCACAGUGGCAAUAAAACCCAUACCUCGUGCCGGUAACAUUCCCAAGUUUGUUCCCUCAAGCCGCUGCUCGGCCUGUCCUAGUCAAGCACAGAAUAUAAUGGUGGUUCAAUAUUUUUUUUUCUUUUAAUUUCCAAAUUUCUGAGCUCUCCCUGGUGCCCGUACUCUCCUCCCACACGCUCCCGUUCAUCGCCAUGAAGGUGGCAUUGGAUAUGAGCAAGGGUGGAGUUGGUCCUCAAGGACGAGGCUCAGCUAUCUAUAGCUUUUGUGGACUUCUCACGGGAAUGUGAACAACCCACAGGAUUCUCCUUGGCCUUUGCACGUGAAGGGGCAUUUGUUAAUUAUCUACGUUGCAGGGAAAAAAAGCGAGAAUGCUACUGCAGUGAAACAAUAUAUGUGCGCGCGCGUGUGUUUGCGGUGUUCGAGUGAAUAUAUACAAGGUAUAUACCAGAAGCGUUUAUCAAAGUCCAUCAUGCUAACAUGUGUGCAGACUGCAACUGCCUCUGCCCAUCGAUUGGCAGUCCCACCGUGGCGAUGUAACAGCGUCCGCUUGUAGGCACGCGGAGGCACUCGGUGCUGGCCAUAAACAAGAUGGGUGAAGUGGAUGUGUUGUUCAAGCAGAAAUGUGUGUGUAAAUCUCUACGGCUGCUGAGAUUCACGGCAGACGGCCUGCUCUAUGAGGGCACACGUGUGAAAGCGAUGUUGGGAAAGCACAUCAAGAAAAUUCUGUGAAAUAAAUAAUGCCAAUAAGACUGGGAACUGUAGGCCACAAACGCUAGCCACCUCCACAGAUGCACAGACAGAUGAACACAUAAUUCAGGCCAUCCUCCUCGACAGAUGCGGAUCGCUGAUGCACACAUUGUAAAUGAUAAACUCUCCAGUCGUGUGCGACUGUGGUCAUCCCGAACAGAGAGCGUACAACGUAUAACCACGCAACGACCCGAUCCACAAAAUACACUCCUCCUGAACGCAGUUAUCCGGCUUGACCGCCUGAAUGUGAAAUUGUAGUUGUUGCUCUGCAUCUACUACAUCAGCAGCCAUACGAAAGAAGAAGACGGCCGUCCUCCUCACGUUAUAGGCAGAGUAGAGAGGCCCAUUGUAGAUUGGUGUGAAAUUGGAAAGGCACAGGGUGUGUAACACGAUUGGUGCAACACGAUGUGAUUCGUUUGUCAAUGCAAUAGAUGGAAUUAUAACCAUGAUGUAUUCAAUUUGGUGUUAUGAUUACAGCAGUUUAUCAAUCGGGCAGGAAGGGUGACUAACUACUACACUUUGUGGGAUGCGUGUCUACUGUCAAAUUGUGCUUAAAAGCACUUUGAUCAAUACCUUCAAUGCAUUUUUAAGUUUACAAAAAUACUUUGCGAACAUAUAUACGUUUCUGUUAUUGGAGAGGAAGAAACUUUGAUUUGUAUCCAUUUUCUUCAAGGUAACUUUUAAAACACUCUACCUUGAAGAUAAUGGAUGCUGCCGCAGUGUUGUGAUGGUCAGCACGCUGGGCCUGCAAUCCAGAGGUCGCCGGUUCACGCCAACGCCACGGCCCUUGAAACAGUGGCGCGAAAAUAAUUGCCCAUCUCUGGCUUCUGUCCCCCAAGCAGUAUAAAUGGGCUCGCCACGGGUACUCGAUUGUAAGGUCACGUGAGGUACGGUAAAAGUCUGCAUACUCGCGCCUCUUCCAAUGUGUCUGGCCGGCGUGGAGAAGUAGGCCAAAACUAUCCUCUCUAGAGGGAGCUCUGUAGAGAGUUCUAAAGAGCGCUCUGCCUCUAUCAGUGUACGAGCAAUACAUUGCAGGCCCGGACCUCUUUCGCUUACCUUCAAGGAAUCAUCCCGGCUUCAACAUUGAUUUAUUCCUUUCCAUUGGUGGGGAUUUUUUUUUUAAUGUUUACUUUUACACGUGUAUAAUAUACACACAUCUCCAUAGUCACAUGGGGCAAUCACAAUGUUUUUAGAAUGGGAUUCUGAAACAAAUCAGGUUGGCGUCACGUGACACGAUUUCUCUCUCAUCCACCGGUUUGGCAUUAGUCUCAGUCGUGCUUCGUGAUGCCACGUGGAGAGUUCCACAGAGGGGGCAACCUCACAGUCAAAAUAUAAACGCCACCCGAUUCAUAAACAUGGGCUUCCAUAUUGCGGGUAGUCAUCUGCAGCUUGUUUACGAAACAAAACAAGUGGUGGGACACAGACGAGUCUGAAUUGCGCCGUCAACCACCGCAGCAGCGCAGACGGAAGAGUCGGUCAGAGUACGUCAUGAAAUGCCACGACAUCGCAAUUAUCCACCCCCCCCCCCCCUUAUCAAGAAAGAGUGUAAAGAUGAUUUCUAUCAAUGACAGUUCUAAUUGGUUUACAUACCGGGGCCAAGGACAAAAUCAAUGUCAUGAUUACACGAAUGAUUCCAGAUUUAAAAUCGGUCGCAUUCCGGGAUGCUUUGGUCGCGGGCGUGAUGCAAGAAGGUCACCCACAUCUUGAACGUAUCGACAAUGUACUGUACGACAAAGGCACCUGUACCAGAUUCAUUUAAUAAGCCCUCUCUUUUUUUAAAUGGAAAAACGUUGAUGAGCCACGGCGUAUAUUUUAGAAUAUCCCAAAAAAACUGCCUCAUUUGCUAAGUAGAAUCUUCUUUGCAACCCAAUUUUUUAUAAGUGGGUUGCAAGUGGGUGUCCAGGUGGAGAGAUCUUAUCUGCUUCGCCUGGUUUACAGGAGGUUGUGUGUUCAACCACAACCCUGACGCAUGUAUGUUUGGAGUUUGCAUGUUCUCCCCGUGGUCGCGUGGAUUCUUCUCCAUGUCCUCCGGUUGUCCCAUCGUCCUUUAGAAACAUAUGUUUAGAAAAUUUGGCUGCUAUACAUUUCCACAUAAGGCACUUCGUUCAGCUAUCAUUUGUGGCCAGGUCGCUUCUGAAAAAGAGCUAUAAAGCUCAGUGGGUCUUAGCUGGUAAAAUAAAAAAUAGUUUAGUUUAAAAUUUCCUGAUAGAUGGUCGCACAAUUAACUUGAUAAUUUACUUUUUUGUCUUCAUCCACUUAACCUGCCUGAUGUAAACAAUACGCCGACUUAAUGGAUUAUCACGUUUUUCCAGGAUACUUCCUCAUAAGGGGGUUUGCCAACUCCGAUCACGGGCAGAUGAAUAUCUCACAAUGCCCGGAAGAGGGGCGGAACUGCAUGUAAAUGCAUCAUCUUGUUGUUGAACAAACGACAAAAAAACCUGGAACUUUUAAUGUCCCGGAAAGACUUGCAGAUUUCCCAGGAGGGCAGCUACCAACUAAAAGAGGACAAUCCUGGGAAAACCAGGACAGGUGGCAAUAUUACCGUCAUAUGAUCGUUUUUUUGUGCACUAAUCGGUGACUAGGCUGAGAUCAUUGCCUCGCGAGGCAUGAUAAUCUAAUAAUUGGUUUGGAGCUCUGACAUGGCCUUCACAAACUCCCCGAGUCAUCUGGUUCUGAAGCCCCCCGCCCCUCCACCUGUAUGUACAAAUCAAGUGCCACAACAUUACACGAGGUAGAAUAAGCAUGCGGUGACUAUUGGCAAAGUUCCAGGAGUGAGCUGGUACAUGGAGUGAUGUACUUUUAUUAUCCCGUUCUCAAAACCAUUCUGAUUCCCCCCCUGUAGAAAAUGAUUAAAACCAUGGCAUGCGUAGUAUACGGUAUACGCUAUCAGAUUGUGCACCGGUGGUGCGGUUGGUAAUUAAUUCGUUGAAACUUAACGCAAACUAUUUGAGAAUCAAAAGAAUCGGGUGGCGGACAAGGAACUCAAGUUCGUCAUCACUGUCCUCGUCGUACAUUCAACAAGCCGAGCGAUGACCAUGGAUGGCGUUCGCUGGACCGGGAAAAUUCACCGACUCGAAUCAGCAGCAUCUGAAAAGAAUGUCCUAAACUGAAAAUGUGAAGAUGACAAAAUCAUCGUUUGAUGAGAUACACGCGCUUUCACACAAUAUGCCGUAGGACUGUUGGGUGGGUAUGUGGGGGGGGGGGGGGGUCGAUUAUUGAUGAAAUUGUGAAACUGUCAUCGCAGUGUGGAAAAGUACAGACAGUGAACAUACUCGAGAGGCAGACACCCGCAGCGGGGACCGUCAGUCGAUAUUCUCGUCUCGUACACCUUCAGUACGCAGAUUUCGUGGCCGCAGAGUUCGCCAUGCGGACAUCUCUCCAUCUUUAUCUCUCUCUCCGUGAUCUCAGCUGCCGAGCGAGAGAUGGACGGCGCUCAGUUUUUAAGCAACGUUGCAUGCCCUCUUUUGUGAACGGCUCAAACUUGAAUUCAUUUAUCGCCUUUAUUUAUCAUUCAUAAGCAGGGAUUGUUGCCUUCUUGAAAAAAAUAACUGUCGUGCUUUUUUUUUUAAAAGUCGAACUUUUUUUGCGUUUAUCCACCCCAGCCUACGGUGUUGCUGGAGGACGGGGAGAUAAAAAAAAUUAAUGAAUGUGUCAUUUAUUUAAUGUAACUUACGAUUUUUGUUGUUGUUGUUGUUGCCGUCUUACUUUCGUUGCGAGAAAUUUUCCUCGCCGUUUUCUUGCCUUUUUUCACGGCCACCGGGCCGCCUAAUGUCGUGCUCUGCUUCGCCAAAAGGCCAAGCUUGGUCGGUUUUUUUCACGCGCGUACGCGCGGCCCCACGACUCCACGCAGCAUGAAUGAGCGCGCCGCCAGGGCCAGUCACGGCCGUCGACUUCACUCGCACGCGCGGCGACCGUCUCCUGCCACGCGACCUCUCGUUGACCCGGCCACCGCGGACUCGUGGCCAAAAAAAAUCGGCCAUCGUUCGUCCGUCGUGGCUGAGAUUUUUUUGAAAAAAGGGGAAACGCCGACUGGUCGUCGCGAGCAAAGCUACGGCACGCGCAACGCUGCCCCUUUACACUUUUGAGCUCACUUUAAUACGCGAGACAAAACAUGCGGUAAUUCUGUGAUGAGACGCCAUAUCAGUGUCACUGUAUUUUGUAAAGCAGACCCGGGGCUCGAGACAAAGGACUGCGUUGGUUUUCAAGGUCGCGCUGUACAGCUCCCGGCGAUGUCCGUUUUCCGGUUGCACCGCCGCGUGUUGUCCGGCGCCAAGUCCGACGUUUCGCGCCGCGCGCAUCGAGACGGGAAAGGAGCUGCCAGCACGCGUGGGGCGAGACGUGAGACGUAAUGCCGUACAAGACGCGGCUCAAACCCGAAAAACGCACAUCUGAGAGCUAAGGAUGGUUUAUUUUAAAAUGAGCAGUGCGCGGGGUUCAAAGUUGAUAUUUGGGCUGUGACUUUCGCACAAUGGUCUACACGCACAGAGUGGCACCACGGUGUCUUUGGCAUCGGCGGGUGCUCCAGUUGGGUUCGUUGUAAUAGAAUUGACUUUCGGGGUAUACCCAGCCACCUGAUUGCAAACAUGUUUUCCCCAAUUAUUUUAAAGACUUGUGUCGCACUGAAUGUGAUUAAUUGAGAAUCAGAUUAGAGCGGUAAUUUUUUCUUAUAAAGUACAUUUAUUCCAGAUGCAGUCACGCCAAUUUGCCACACUUAGUAUUGGUGAUGAAUGAUGAAGCAGAAAUAGAUUAGUACGCACGCAUCUCUUUCAAGAGAGGCUGGGGAAAUAUUGUAAAAAUAUUAAUUACAAGAAAACAUUUAAAACUUCGUAAGAUGCGUAAUAACCGCGAAAAGGCAAAUCGCUGUGAAAUCAGCACGAAACACAAGACGCUUUCAAACGCGUUACAAUUUGACAGUGGAAUUGAACUCAUUUACAUGGAGAUAAUUAUAUAUACACAAACUUCAAGAGUUAACCAAUGUACAGUUGUGCAAAAGAUAAAAUAUAUAUGUAUGAUUUGAACUCGAGGGCUGUGGGGGAUUGUGGUAGACAAUGAGUGAUUUACCCAAACAGAAUGAUGUUUUGUUCAUUUGAAGUGGCCACAUAGCCACAAGCUUUGUGCAUGCCUUCUGUAAAUCUGGCAAUUUUUAGUAAAAAAAAAAGAAAAAAGAAUUAAAAUGUAAAAAAAAGAAUCACAAGGCUAUAGUAUUUAUAUUAUAUACAAUGUCUGCAGAAGCUACGGACACUUUUACCAGCAUUCACGAUGUUUUGCCCAGUAUUGUUAAAGUGUGUGUUUUCAUGUAAAACUAAAAAAAAUUACAUUAUUACUCUAAUUGAUAACAACGAUAAUUAUGAUAUUGUUUAAGUUUACUUUGCAAAAAAUUUUGCAUGUGAAUUGAGACAUAAACUAUGCAGAUAGAUAAGCAAAUGUGGAUGUUAUUUCACUCAUUAAUGAUGACGUGACCGCC